rnacentral:rRNA from 1 species
CAAGUCGAACGAUGAAGUUCCUUCGGGAAUGGAUUAGUGGCGAACGGGUGAGGAACACGUGAGAAACCUGCCUUUCAUUCUGGGAUAACACCGGGAAACCGGUGCUAAUACCGGAUACUCCGUCUUGGCGGCAUCGCCGAGCCGGGAAAAAAUUUUGAUGAAAGAUGGUCUCGCGGCCUAUCAGCUAGUUGGUGAGGUAAAGGCUCACCAAGGCGACGACGGGUAGCCGGCCUGAGAGGGCGACCGGCCACACUGGGACUGAGACACGGCCCAGACUCCUACGAGAGGCAGCAGUAGGGAAUAUUGGGCAAUGGGCGCAAGCCUGACCCAGCGACGCCGCGUGAGGGAUGAAGGUCUUCGGAUUGUAAACCUCUUUCAGUAGGGAAGAAGCGAAAGUGACGGUACCUAAAGAAGAAGCACCGGCUAACUAUGUGCCAGCAGCCGCGGUAAUACAUAGGGUGCAAGCGUUGUCCGGAAUUAUUGGGCGUAAAGAGCUCGUAGGUCGUUUGUCGCGUCGAUUGUGAAAAUCUGAGGCUCAACCUCAGACCUGCAGUCGAUACGGGCAAACUAGAGUGUGGUAGGGGAGACUGGAAUUCCUGGUGUAGCGGUGGAAUGCGCAGAUAUCAGGAGGAACACCAAUGGCGAAGGCAGGUCUCUGGGCCAUAACUGACACUGAGGAGCGAAAGUGCGGGGAGCGAACAGGAUUAGAUACCCUGGUAGUCCGCACCGUAAACGGUGGGCACUAGUUGUGGGAACCUUCCACGGUUUCCGCGACGCAGCUAACGCAUUAAGUGCCCCGCCUGGGGAGUACGAUCGCAAGAUUAAAACUCAAAGGAAUUGACGG